rnacentral:rRNA from 1 species
ACGGAAGGCAGCAGUGGGGAAUAUUGGGCAAUGGGCGCAAGCCUGACCCAGCAACGCCGUGUGAAGGAAGGAGGUCUUCGGAUUGUAAACUUUUGUCUUAUGGGACGAUAAUGACGGUACCAUAGGAGGAAGUCACGACUAACUACGUGCCAGCAGUCGCGGUAAUACGUAGGUGACAAGCGUUAUCCGGAAUUAUUGGGUGUAAAGGGUGCGUAGGCGGGCUGUAAGUCAGAUGUGAAAUACCGGGGCUCAACCCCGGAGCUGCAUUUGAAACUUACGGUCUUGAGUGAAGUAGAGGUAAGCGGAAUUCCCAGUGUAGCGGUGAAAUGCGUAGAUAUUGGGAGGAACACCAGUGGCGAAGGCGGCUUACUGGGCUUUUACUGACGCUGAGGCACGAAAGUGUGGGGAGCAAACAGGAUUAGAUACCCUGGUA